CCUACGGGUGGCAGCAGUGGGGGAUAUUGGACAAUGGGCGGAACCCUGAUCCAGCGACGCCGCGUGAGGGAAGAAGUAUUUCGGUAUGUAAAGUUCUGUCAGCAGGGAAGAAAGAAGUGACGGUACCUGACGAAUAAGCCACGGCUAACUACGUGCCAGCAGCCGCGGUAAUACGUAGGGGGCAAGCGUUAUCCGGAAUUACUGGGUGUAAAGGGAGUGUAGGCGGUUAUGUAAGUCUGAAGUGAAAGGCCGGGGCCCAACCCCGGGACUGCUGUUGAAACUAUUGAUCUUGAGUGCAGGAGAGGUAAGCGGAAUUCCUGGUGUAGCGAUGAAAUGCGUAGAUAUUAGGAGGAACACCAGUGGCGAAGGCGGCUUACUGGACUGUAACUGACGUUGAGGCUCGAAAGCGUGGGGAGCAAACAGGAUUAGAUACCCGUGUAGUC
rnacentral:rRNA from 1 species